rnacentral:sRNA from 1 species
GCUGGGUGUGGUGGCACACACCUGUAAUCCCAGCAACUUGGGAGGCUGAGGCAAAGGGAUCACAAGUUUGAGGCUAACCUGGGCAAUUUAGCUAGAUCCUGUCCCCAAAAU